AUAUUUACCUGGUAAGGGAAAUACCGUGACCGGGCAGGUGGUUUCUCCAGGCCGAGGCUCGCCCCUACCUGCGCGAGACUGCUGACUCCUGCGAUUUCCCCAAACGCGGGGAACUCGAGUUCGCAAUUUGUGGUAGUGGGGCUGCGCCCGUGCUCUUCCAC
rfam:Alligator mississippiensis ScZkoYb_132, whole genome shotgun sequence.